rnacentral:rRNA from 1 species
AGCGAACGCUGGCGGCAGGCUUAACACAUGCAAGUCGAGCGGGCAUCCUUGUGGUGUCAGCGGCAGACGGGUGAGUAACGCGUGGGAACGUGCCCUUCGGUUCGGAAUAACUCAGGGAAACUUGAGCUAAUACCGGAUACGCCCUCUUGGGGAAAGGUUUACUGCCGAAGGGUCGGCCCGCGUCUGCUUAGCUAGUUGGUGAGGUUAUGGCUCACCAAGGCGACGAUCAGUAGCUGGUCUGAGAGGAUGAUCAGCCACACUGGGACUGAGACACGGCCCAGACUCCUGCGGGAGGCAGCAGUGGUGAAUGUUGGACAAUGGGGGCAACCCUGAUCCAGCCAGGCCGCGUGAGUGAUGACGGCCUUAGGGUUGUAAAUCUCUUUUCUCCGGGACGAUAAUGACGGUACCGGAGGAAUAAGCCCCGGCUAACUUCGUG